UACUUGACAUCAACUUCAUAUAAAUUUAUCACUCACUUGACUCGCUAUGUGUUCGACACAUAUUUAAAGUUUAUAGAUACGUGAUCUACGUCGUUCAUAUUCAAACUACUUUGUUUCAUAAUGAUUUAUUUCAAUCAAUAAAGCUUAACAACUUUCUUUAACAAGAUUCGAUGUUAUAAGAUUUUAAACCAUAUAUUGGUACUAAUAAGCCUCUACUAGUAUGCUUCACAUAGACAUAGCAUAGUUCAUUAUUUGAAGACGUAUUUGAAACCACACUUGAAACGUCCAAUUCAUGCUU
rnacentral:lncRNA from 1 species